GCUUGCUAUAAUAGCAAACAUGCAGGUAUUUAAAGAAAUGUUUUGUUUUUCCUUUUUAGCUGUUGAAAUUUCUUGAAUGCAAACACAACACAACACACCAUGCGCACAUGACAGAGGUCUCCGUCACUGCGGAGGGAAGAUCGCAAUGCUGCUUGCAGGCUGUUGACAGAAAGUGAUCAGUUGUCGUGUUCCGCCAGCUGCUGCGCCGGCGUUGGCAGCGCACAGCCGCUACCAGCUGACACGCCGACCGGUGCGCGGCGCGCGUGCGCCGGGCGCCGACGGCCGUCGUCUGGCAGCAACAGCGCUGCCAGUGACUCGCGCUGCUGCUGCAGAAACUGGACAAGGAUCGUAGAAUCCUGGCGUGUUUUUGUAACGUCCAUUAGAGUGAUUUAGACGCAGCGUGUAGAAAGGACUCGUUUAUUGACGUGUGACUUUCUGACAGCUCAGUCACCUGUUGACGGCGGCGCACAGCGUCACCUACCCGCCCUACAGCCGGCCCAGCAGGGUGAGUAGUGAGUACCAAUACCCGCCCUGCAGCCGGCCCCAGCAGGCGGACGGAGAGGCCCGCCCGGGCCCAGUGCCGCACGGAGAGGCGGCGGCGCUGGAGCCCAACACCCCGGCUCGCGGCCUGUAGCUGACGGUGCUGGAGCCGCGAGUCACCGUGGUGGCUGGCCAUGGAGACUUGGAAAAGGCCGGUGAGGUGCGUCUCCAGCUGCGCUGUCAGACGAUCCAGUGGAACGAGCAGCAGCCCAUGUACCCGUCCCGGCUGUGCCGGUGUGUCUCCCAGCUUGAGCGGCGCCGGCCGACCGCUGCGCUGCUCUACAACUGCCACGUCCACACACGAUGCACGGUGACGGCUGACCAGGCGGUGCUGGUCUCGGCCGCGACCGACGGCCAGCCCGCCCAGGAGCACCAGGCUUUAGAGGCUGAUUAGUGGGCAGAUACAUUCAAUUAGCUAUUAAUAAUUGAUUAUGCAAACAUUCAAGAAUCUACAUCAUUCAAUUCUAGCCGAAAUCACGCGGCGCUCCCAGGAUUCGAACUCACGACCCUCGGAUCCGUAGCCCGAUACGCUACCGACUGCGCUACCGAGGACCGCGCGCUUACGAUCGGAGAGCCGGAUCGCGGGUGCUGGCGUGCAGAGAAAUCUUUACCCUGUACGCCGUAGAAGUUCGGCUGGGUUUCGUGAAAAAUGGUAGAGGAAUUGUCGAAAGAAAAUUCAUCGAUCUAUC